GCCAGACUCCUACGGGAGGCAGCAGUGGGGAAUAUUGCGCAAUGGGGGGAACCCUGAUGCAGCGACGCCGCGUGGGUGAAGGAGCACCUCGGUGCGUAAAGCCCUAUCGGCAGGGAAGAAGGAGGACGGUACCUGACUAAGAAGCCCCGGCUAACUACGUGCCAGCAGCCGCGGUAAUACGUAGGGGGCAAGCGUUAUCCGGAUUUACUGGGUGUAAAGGGGGCGCAGACGGCAGCGCAAGCCAGGAGUGAAAGCCCGGGGCCCAACCCCGGGACUGCUCUUGGAACUGCGCGGCUGGAGUGCAGGAGGGGCAGGCGGAAUUCCUGGUGUAGCGGUGAAAUGCGUAGAUAUCAGGAGGAACACCGGUGGCGAAGGCGGCCUGCUGGACUGCGACUGACGUUGAGGCCCGAAAGCGUGGGGAGCAAACAGGAUUAGAUACCCCAGUA
rnacentral:rRNA from 1 species